rnacentral:tRNA from 1 species
CAAGAUGUAGCUUAGCCAAAGCACCCAGUUUACACCCGGAAGACUUCACCUCCUCGUGAACAUCUUGA